rnacentral:rRNA from 1 species
CCUACGGGGGGCUGCAGUGGGGAAUAUUGGACAAUGGGGGCAACCCUGAUCCAGCCAUGCCGCGUGUGUGAAGAAGGCCCUCGGGUUGUAAAGCACUUUCAGUGAGGAAGAACGCCUGGUGGUUAAUACCCAUCAGGAAAGACAUCACUCACAGAAGAAGCACCGGCUAACUCCGUGCCAGCAGCCGCGGUAAUACGGAGGGUGCGAGCGUUAAUCGGAAUUACUGGGCGUAAAGCGCGCGUAGGUGGCUUGAUAAGCCGGUUGUGAAAGCCCCGGGCUCAACCUGGGAAUGGCAUCCGGAACUGUCAAGCUAGAGUGCAGGAGAGGAAGGUAGAAUUCCCGGUGUAGCGGUGAAAUGCGUAGAGAUCGGGAGGAAUACCAGUGGCGAAGGCGGCCUUCUGGACUGACACUGACACUGAGGUGCGAAAGCGUGGGUAGCAAACAGGAUUAGAUACCCUAGUAGUC